rnacentral:rRNA from 1 species
AGUGAACGCUGGCGGUAGGCUUAACACAUGCAAGUCGAACGGCAGCACAGUAAGAGUUUGCUCUUACGGGGGACGAGUGGCGGACGGGUGAGGAAUACAUCGGAAUCUACUUUUUCGUGGGGGAUAACGUAGGGAAACUUACGCUAAUACCGCAGAUGAUACACGGUUGAAAGCAGGGGAUCUUUGGACCUUGCGCGAAUGAACGAGCCGAUGUCGGAUUAGCUAGUUGGCGGGGUAAAGGCCCACCAAGGCGGCGAUGCGUAGCCGGUCUGAGAGGAUGGUCAGCCACACUGGAAGAGAGACAGGGUCGAGACUCCUGCGGGAAGCCGCAGUCCGGAAUAUUAGGCAAUGGGCGCGAGCCUGAUCCAGCCAUACCGCGUGAGUGAAGAAGGCGUUCGGGUUGGAAAGCCCUUUUGUUGGGAGGUAAGAGCAGCAGGUUCAGACCCCGCGGUACUGACGGUACCCGACGAAUAAGCACCGGCUAACUACGUG